rnacentral:misc_RNA from 1 species
UACGGAGGGUGCAAGCGUUGUCCGGAUUUACUGGGCGUAAAGGGCGCGUAGGCGGUUCGUUAAGUCGGAUGUGAAAACUCUGGGCUCAACCCAGAGCCUGCAUCCGAUACUGGCGGGCUAGAGUGCGAGAGGGGAAAGCGGAAUUCCUGGUGUAGCGGUGAAAUGCGUAGAUAUCAGGAGGAACACCGGCGGCGAAGGCGGCUUUCUGGAUCGCAACUGACGCUGAGGCGCGAAAGCGUGGGGAGCAAACAGG